AAUAUCCAAAAUUUUUUUUUUUUUUUCCAAAUUCACUUGUUUUUAAGCUUUAACAGGACAUGCCAGAAUUCAACUAGCAGUGAUGGAAGGAGCAGAGGAAGACCAGUGACAUCUGGUUGUGGUGACAACAAAUUAUAUGAUCGCUUGCCGAAGGAUGCAUCAGGUAUCUGUGCCCUCGUGUCUUUGAUAAUGCCUGUAGUGGUUGUCCCCAUUGAAAUACAGAAUCUCAAUUGGAACAUGGAGUCCCCACUGGCGGGGCUCCUGAAGCGAGCCAAAA